GCAGUUCAUACGAUCACAUAUUUACAUAAUCAAGUAAGUACGAAAAGAACACAAAAAAACCAAAAUAUGAAAGGUUUCUUUGGAGUUGUUAUGUUUCUGUUCUUAUUUAUUACGGUAUCUUUAGCCAGUCGCAAAAGUUUAACAAGUAUUGGAUCGAAAAGACUAGUUCCAGGAGGUCCAGACAAUGCGACAUCUCCAUCUAAUCCACCAGCGUUUGUAACUGAUAUUGAAAUAAAGAGACUAGUUCCAGGAGGUCCAGAUAAUGCGACAUCUCCAUCUAAUCCACCAGCGUUUGUAGCAAAUAUUGAAAUGAAAAGAAAAGUUCCAGGAGGUCCGAACAAUCAGACAUCUCCACCUACCCCACCAUCUUUUUAGUGGAUAUAUAUUUUAAAAGUUCAAUAAAUUAAUAAUCACAAACUUUCUGUCAAUCUAAUCUAAUAUUGGUUUAGUUAUGAUUUUUUCAAAAAAAUAAAAAAUAAAAAUAAUAAGUAUUUUUUCUAUACACUAUAUUGUUCAUAUAAAAAAAAUGCUGAAUGUGAAAUAUAUAAUUUUGAAAAAAAAAUCCUAAUACCAUUUUUUAGAAAGAAUCCUAAUAGCAUUUGAUUAAUUGCUUACCUGACUUUCCGAAGAAAUCAUAAUAUUAAAAACACUGAAGUACACACCACUAAAAAUAUUUUUUCUGUGUGAAAAAGACCAUCACGUGAACAGACACAUCUAUUCAUUCAAGAUCCAUCAUUUCUCCUCGAGUGUUCCCAUCGCCAAUCAACAACAGUUUUCUUAGACUAUAAUAAAUGUUAAUUUGGCAUUUAUUGAGGAGUGGCUAAAUAUAGUCUACUUUGUGCCUUUGUUUUUCUCUUGUGAUCAAAGUGUCAACAAAUACAUUCAUCUGUUUUUGUUACUCAUGGCAGACAAAUUACAAAAAGAUGCAAGAAAUUACGUUGAGUAUCAUUGAUAAAGACAUUACUUUACUCGACGAUUUAUGCGAAGAUGCAUCAGAGGAGAACGGCUAGGGGUGUCAAAACAGAUAAAAACUAAUGGGUCGAUCAGGACCAAUCCAAACCACGAAUUUUAAUGGAUAGAAAAAUUGGGUACAAAUGGAUUAAUGGGUAAAUGAGUUAAUGGACUUAAAUGGUUUGGAUUGUAAUGGAUAAUGAGUUAUUCAUAACCAAAUCAAUAAAAAUCUAUAACAAACCUAACAUCAAAUCAAAUAUAUAUAUAUAAAAAAGUAACCAAACCAAAUUUUUAAACCAGUUUACUACACCAAAUUCUAUUUACUUUUCACAUGUACAACGAAAUUACAAUAACCUAAAUCUCACUUAAUCAUAACUUUUUUUAUGUUAAAACCCAAUUUCUCAUAUAUAUAUGUGGGGUUUUAGAAGUUAAAUCAUAUUUUUUUGCCAAAUACAUAAAAUAUUUUUUUUGACAAAACUAAAACUUGAUUUUUUCCAUCAAAAGCGCUAAAUCUCUUCUUUUUUUUUGUUGUCAAAAUCGUAAAAUUGUGUGUUUUCACCAGAUCCACAAAAUCAUGUAUUCCUGCAAAAACUGCAAAAUCAUGUUUUUCUGUCAAAAUCGAAAAAUCGUUUUUUCUAGCCAAAACCGAAAAAUUGUGUUUUCUCGCAAAAAUCGCAAAAUUGGGUUUUCCUGCCAAAACCACAAAAUUGAGCUUUCCCUCCAAAACUGCAAAAUUGUGCUUUCCCGCCAUGACCAUAAAAUCGAGUUUUCCCACAUAAAAUGUAAAUUGAGUUUUCUCACCAAAAACCGCAAAUUUGUGUUUGCCAGCCAAAACCGUAAAAUUGAGUAUUUUUGCAAAAUGUUAAACUGAACGUUCCCUCUUAAACUGUAAAAUCUUUUUUUUCCUGUCAAAACAAUAAAUUAAAGCUUUCCGCCUUUUGAAAAAAACAAGCUUUCCUGCCAAAACCGCAAAUUAAGUUUUUCCGCCCAUAUCGCAAAUUUAGUUUUCCUGUCAAAACCCUAAAAUUUAGGUUUCCCGCCAAAACAGUAAAAUCUUGUUUUCUUGCCAUAAUUGUAAAAUUAUUUUCCGCCAAAUCUGUAAAAUUGAGUUUUCCACCAAAACAUAAAAAUCUUUUUUCCGUAAAAUUGAUUUUUCUGCCAAAACCGCAACAUUGUAUUUUUCCGCCACACCUCAAAAAUCUUAUUUUCCUGACAAAACAGCAAAAUUGAGUUUUCCUGUAAAAACCGUAAAUCGUGUUUUCCAUCCAAAACUGUAAAUUGUUUUUCCCUAAAAUCUGUAAAAUUGAGAUUUCCGACAAAGCCACAAAAUGGUGUUUUCUUCUAAAACCGUAAAAUUGAGUUUUCUUGCCAAGAUCACUUAAGAAAAUAAGAAAAUCUUAUUUUCCACCAAAACCUUAUAUUUGUAUUUAUUUUCAACCCUAAAAAUAAUACUUUUUACUUAAUAACUUUUAAAAUAUAAAAUUAUUGUUCAUGGAUUAACCGUUUAAACAAUUAACUCAUUAACUUAAAUGAGUUGUAGAUUGAUCCAAUCGAUUUGUCAAAUGUAUUGGUUUAAUACAUGGCCCAUAUAAUUUCAAAAUCAUUUCGGUGUUUUGGUUCGGUUUACCCAUUUUGGAGCCAAUUAAACAUAUUUUACUUUCAUAUUUUUAAACAUAUUUUCUUUACUAAAAUCAUAAAAAAUUAUAAAUUCAUAUAAGAAUAAAAUAUACGAAUCCGGCGCAUAGCACCGGAAUACCGCUAGUAAAGAAUAUGAUAGUAUAUUAUGAAUUAGUUAAGUUUUUAAAACUAACUAGUCAAAAAUUGAUUUGAUAACGUUAGCUUCAAUUAAUGUAUAAAAAUCUAGAAAUUUUAAUGGUACAAUUCAUAAAUGACACGCCAGGUUAAAUUUGAUUCUAUAUAGUGUUUUUGUUUAAGUAGAAUAGAUUUUAUAUAUAUAUGUAUAUAAUUAUUGAUUUAAUAUUUAGAUUAGGUAUGAGUAGUAGAUCUUUUUGAAAAAGGGUUUCAACUUCCUUAUAUAAAUUUAUCUAUAUUUAUUAGAUAUGAGUUCAAAUGUACUAAAAGUGUUUUUAUCAACAAAUUUCUCUGUUCAUGCAUUUAAUCUGUUUAGAUAUUCAAUUUUAAUAUUGAUAAGGUGACAAGGAAAAAAGAAAUACGUGUCUUUCUAUUCAAAUAUUUUUUUGUUAGAUUUAGUUUUUUUUCCUUUGAGAUAUCUAUACUAUUAAAAGAGUUAUUUGUUAGAAUGGUCAUGUUGUGUACCAUAAGUAUGUGCAUACUAAAUAUUUACCUUCAUUUACAGACACUAUAAAUUAUCUCAUUUCAAGCAGUUCAUACCAUCACAUAUUUACAUAAUCUAGUAAGUACGAAAAGGACACAAAAAACCAAAAUAUGAAAGGUUUCUUUGGAGUUGUUAUGUUUCUGUUCUUAUUUAUUACGGUAUCUUUAGCCAGUCGCAAAAGUUUAACAAGUAUUGGAUCGAAGAGACUAGUUCCAGGAGGUCCAGACAAUGCGACAUCUCCAUCUAAUCCACCAGCGUUUGUAACUGAUAUUGAAAUAAAGAGGCUAGUUCCAGGAGUUCCAGAUAAUGCGACAUCUCCAUCUAAUCCACCAGCGUUUGUAGCAAAUAUUGAAAUGAAAAGAAAAGUUCCAGGAGGUCCGAACAAUCAGACAUCUCCACCUACCCCACCAUCUUUUUAGUGGAUAUAUAUUUUAAAAGUUCAAUAAAUUAAUAAUCACAAACUUUCUGUCAAUCUAAUCUAAUAUUGGUUUAAUUAUGAUUGUUUCAAAAAAAUAAAAAAUAAAAAUAAUAAGUAUUUUUUUCUAUACACUAUAUUAUUCAUUAAAAAAAAUGCUGAAUAUGAAAUAUAUAAUUUUCAAAAAAAAAAAAUCCUAAUACCAUUUUUUAGAAAGAAUCCUAAUAGCAUUUGAUUAAUUGCUUACCUGACUUUCCGAAGAAAACAUAAUAUUAAAAACACUGAAGUACACACUACUAAAAAUAUUUUUUCUGUGCGAAAAGAUCAUCACGUGAACAGACACAUCUAUUCAUUCAUGAUCCAUCAUUUAUCCUGGAGUGUUCCCAUCGCCGAUCAACAACAGUUUUCUUAGACCAUAAUAAAUGUUUGGCAGUUAUAAAGGAGUGGCUAAAUAUAGUCUGCUUUGUGCAUUUGUUUUUCUCUUGUGAUCAAAGUGUCAACAAAUACAUUCAUCUGUUUUUGUUACUCAUGGCAGACAAAUUACAAAAAGAUGCAAGAAAUUACGUUGAGUAUCAUUGAUGAAGACAUCACUUUACUCGACGAUUUAUACGAAGAUGCAUCAGAGGAGAACGGCUAGGGGUGUCAAAACAGAUACAAACUAAUGGGCCGAUCAGGACCAAUCCAAACCAUGAAUUUUAAUGGAUAGAAAAAUUGGGUACAAAUGGAUUAAUGGGUAAAUGAGUUAAUGGACUUAAAUGGUUUGGAUUGUAAUGGAUAAUGCCAAAUCAAUAAAAAUCUAUAACAAACUUAAAUUCAAAUCAAAUAUAUAUUAAAAAAAGUAACCAAACCAAAUUUCUAAACCAGUUUACUACACCAAAUUUUAUUUACUUUUCACAUAUACAACGAAAUUACAAUAACCUAAAUCUCACUUAGUUAUAAUUUUUUAAUGUUAAAACCCAAUUUCUCAUAUAUAUGUGGGGUUUUAGAAUUUAAAUCAUUUUUUUUGCCAAAUAGAUAAAAUCAAUUUUUUUGACAAAACAAAAAAUUGAUUUUUUCCAUCAAAAGCGCUAAAUCUCUUCUUUUUUUUUUUUAUCAAAAUCGUAAAAUUGUGUUUUUCACCAGAUCCACAAAAUCAUGUAUUCCUGCAAAAACUGCAAAAUCAUGUUUUUCUGUCAAAAUCGAAAAAUCGUUUUUUCUAGCCAAAACCGCAAAAUUGUGUGUUUCUCGCAAAAAUCGCAAAAUUGGGUUUUCCUGCCAAAACCACAAAAUUGAGCUUUCCCUCCAAAACUGCAAAAUUGUGCUUUCCCGCCAUGACCAUAAAAUCGAGUUUUCCCACAUAAAAUGUAAAUUGAGUUUUCUCACAAAAAACCGCAAAUUUGUGUUUGCCAGCCAAAACCGUAAAAUUGAGUAUUUCCGCAAAAUGUUUAACUGAAUGUUCCCUCCUAAACUGCAAAAUCUUUUUUUCCUGUCAAAACAAUAAAAUAAAGCUUUCCGCCUUUUGAAAAAACAAGCUUUCCUGCCAAAACCGCAAAUUAAGUUUUUCCGCCAAUAUCGCAAAUUUAGUUUUCCUGUCAAAACUCUAAAAUUUUGGUUUCCCGCCAAAACAGUAAAAUUCUGUUUUCUUGCCAUAAUUGUAAAAUUGUUUUUCCGCCAAAUCUGUAAAAUUGAGUUUUCCACCAAAACAUAAAAAUCUUGUUUCCGUAAAAUUAAUUUUUCUGCCAAAACCGCAACAUUGUAUUUUUCCGCCACACCUCAAAAAUCUUAUUUUCCUGACAAAACAGCAAAAUUGAUUUUUCCUGCCAAAACCGUAAAUCGUGUUUUCCAUCCAAAACCGUAAAUUGUUUUUCCCCAAAACCUGUAAAAUUGAGAUUUCCGACAAAGCCACAAAAUGGUGUUUUCUUCUAAAACUGUAAAAUUGAGUUUUCUUGCCAAGAUCACUUAAGAAAAUAAGAAAAUCUUAUUUUCCACCAAAACCUUAUAUUUGUAUUUAUUUUAAACCCUAAAAAUAAUACUUUUUACUUAAUAACUUUUAAAAUAUAAAAUUAUUGUCCAUGGAUUAACCGUUUAAACAAUUAACUCAUUAACUUAAAUGAGUUGUAGAUUGAUCCAAUCGAUUUGUCAAAUGUAUUGGUUUAAUACAUGGCCCAUAUAAUUUAAAAACCAUUUCGGUGUUUUGGUUCGGUUUACCCAUUUUGGAGCCAAUUAAACAUAUUUUACUUUUCAUAUUUUUAAACAUAUUUUCUUUACUAAAAUCAUAAAAAAAUCAUAAAUUUAUAUAAGAAUAAAAUAUACGAAUCCGGCGCAUAGCACCGGAAUACCGCUAAUAAAGAAUAUGAUAGUAUAUUAUGAAUUAGUUAAGUUUUUAAAACUAACUAGUCAAAAAUUGAUUUGAUAACGUUACCUUCAAUUAAUGUCUAAGAAUCUAGAAAUUUUAAUGGUACAAUUCAUAAAUGACACGCCUGGUUAAAUUUGAUUCUAUGUAGUGUUUUUGUUUAAGUAGAAUAGAUUAUAUAUAUAUAUAUAUAUAUAUGUAUAUAAUUAUUGAUUUAAUAUUUAGUUUAGGUAUGAGUAGUAGAUCUUUUUGAAAAAGGGUUUCAACUUCCUUAUAUAAAUUUAUCUAUAUUUAUUAUAUAUGAGUUCAAAUGUACUAAAACUGUUUUUAUUAAAAAAUUUCUCUGUUCAUGCAUUUAAUCUGUUUAGAUAUUUAAUUUUAAUAUUGAUAAGGUGACACAGAAAAAAGAAAUACGUGUCUUUCUAUUCAAAGAUUUUUUUGUUAGAUUUAGUUUUUUUCCUUUGAGAUAUCUAUACUAUUAAAAGAGUUAUUUGUUAGAAUGGUCUUGUUGUGUACCAUAAGUAUGUGCAUACUAAAUAUUUACCUUCAUUAACAGAUACUAUAAAUUAUCUCAUUUCAAGCAGUUCAUACCAUCACAUAUUUACAUAAUCUAGUAAGUACGAAAAGGACACAAAAAACCAAAAUAUGAAAGGUAUCUUUGGAGUUGUUAUGUUUCUGUUCUUAUUUAUUACGGUAUCUUUAGCCAGUCGCAAAAGUUUAACAAGUAUUGGAUCGAAGAGACUAGUUCCAGGAGGUCCAGACAAUGCGACAUCUCCAUCUAAUCCACCAGCGUUUGUAACUGAUAUUGAAAUAAAGAGACUAGUUCCAGGAGGUCCAGAUAAUACGACAUCUCCAUCUAAUCCACCAGCGUUUGUAGCAAAUAUUGAAAUGAAAAGAAAAGUUCCAGGAGGUCCGAACAAUCAGACAUCUCCACCUACCCCACCAUCUUUUUAGUGGAUAUAUAUUUUAAAAGUUCAAUAAAUUAAUAAUCAGAAACUUUCUGUCAAUCUAAUCUAAUAUUGGUUUAGUUAUGAUUGUUUCAAAAAAAUAAAAAAUAAAAAUAAUAAGUAUUUUUUC
rnacentral:lncRNA from 1 species